rnacentral:rRNA from 1 species
AGCAGCCGCGGUAAUUCCAGCUCCAAUAGCGUAUAUUAAAGUUGUUGCAGUUAAAAAGCUCGUAGUUGAAUUUCGGGAUUGACGUGAUGGUCGUGCCUUAAGGGGUAUGAACUGUUGCUGUUGAUUUCUCACCUUCUGGAGAAACUUGAUGUCCUUAAUUGGGUGUCUUGCGGAUCCAGGACCUUUACCUUGAAAAAAUUGGAGUGUUUAAAGCAGGCAUUUUUGCUCGGAUACAUUAGCAUGGAAUAAUAGAAUAGGACGGCAUGGUUCUAUUUUGUUGGUUUCUAGGAUCACCGUAAUGAUUAAUAGGGAUAGUUGGGGGCAUUAGUAUUCAAUUGUCAGAGGUGAAAUUCUUGGAUUUAUUGAAGACUAACUACUGCGAAAGCAUUUGCCAAGGAUGUUUUCAUUAAUCAAGACGAAAAGUUAGGGGAACGAAGACGAUCAGAUACCGUCGUAGUCUUAACCAUAAACUAUGCCGACUAGGAAUCAGACGAUGUUAAUUUUUAAUGACUCG